UACGUAGGGGGCAAGCGUUGUCCGGAAUCAUUGGGCGUAAAGAGCGUGUAGGCGGCUCGGUAAGUCCGCUGUAAAAGUCCAGGGCUCAACCCUGGAAAGCCGGUGGAAACUGUCGAGCUAGAGUCCGGAAGAGGCGAGUGGAAUUCCUGGUGUAGCGGUGAAAUGCGCAGAUAUCAGGAGGAACACCGGUGGCGAAGGCGGGUCUCUGGGCCGAUACUGACGCUGAGGCACGAAAGCCAGGGGAGCAAACGGG
rnacentral:rRNA from 1 species